CGGGACGGGUGAGUAAUGUCUGGGAAACUGCCCGAUGGAGGGGGAUAACUACUGGAAACGGUAGCUAAUACCGCAUAACGUCGCAAGACCAAAGAGGGGGACCUUAGGGCCUCUUGCCAUCGGAUGUGCCCAGAUGGGAUUAGCUAGUAGGUGGGGUAACGGCUCACCUAGGCGACGAUCCCUAGCUGGUCUGAGAGGAUGAUCAGCCACACUGGGACUGAGACACGGUCCAG
rnacentral:rRNA from 1 species